AUUGUUCUCUUACUCUAGUCAGACUAUAACUUUUUCUUGAGUUCUGUUAUUUCCUGCCACAGGACUUCUGCACAAGUUAAAUUCUCUCUUAGGAGUGCUUGUGCCACCUUCCUGUACCUAGCUAAUUCCUGAGCAUCCUUUUGUUAUCAGCUCCACCAUCUCUUUCUUAGGGAAGCCAUAAGUCGAGGUAAACUUCACUGGAGCACAAAUUAUUGUAGGAUUUGAAGAUGGAGUUGUUCGAAUUCUUGAACUUUAUGAUCCAAAAGGGCUCACGAUUUUUGCGGGACGGAAGAAAAUUUUGGAUGCUGAUAUUCAAUUGAAACAGGUUUUCAAACCCCAUACUGCUUGUGUCACUGCUUUAGCUUAUGAACGUGAUGGGGAAAUUUUAGCCACAGGGAGUAAAGAUCAAACUGUUUUCUUCUUUGAAGUGGAAAGGGAUUAUAAGCCAAUUGGUUAUAUUAAUACUCCUGGACCUGUGUGCCAGUUAAUGUGGUCUCCCAUGUCUCAUCCUGAAAGUACUUUACUAAUUAUGUGUGAAAAUGGCUAUAUUCUUG
rnacentral:sRNA from 1 species